rnacentral:rRNA from 1 species
AUACGGAGGAUGCAAGCGUUAUCCGGAUUUAUUGGGUUUAAAGGGUGCGUAGGCGGUUUGCUAAGCGGGAGGUGAAAUGCCGGCGCUCAACGUCGGAAGUGCCUCCCGAACUGGUGGACUGGAAUGACUCUGCCGUGGGAGGAAUGUGUAGUGUAGCGGUGAAAUGCUUAGAGAUUACACAGAACACCGAUUGCGAAGGCAUCUCACGAAGGGUUGAUUGACGCUGAGGCACGAAAGCGUGGGGAUCAAACAGGAUUAGAUACCCUGGUAGUCCACGCAGUAAACGAUGAUUACUGGCUGUUUGCGAUACAAUGUAAGCGGCUGAGCGAAAGCGUUAAGUAAUCCACCUGGGGAGUACGUUCGCAAGAAUGAAACUCAAAGGAAUUGACGGGG